AUAAAGACUGAAUAACAUUAAUAAUAAAGAGAGUAUCAACUACUGAUUCAUAUAUUACAAUAGGGUCAUCAUGGCUUAAUCAAUAAGGAAAUUAGCUAGACAUGAUCAAACGAAUAAACAACAUAAUAAAGAAAAUAAACCGAUAGAGUUCCAUCGUUGUCGGGCCUUGUUCUUCAUGUUUUUCCAUUUCAUGUGCUCCUAUUUCUUUCGUGCGGCUCCUUUUCCUUUUCCAAAACGUGAAUUGCACAGAACGUCAAAAAUUCCCUUUUUGUGAUGUGCUGCUUCCUUUUUAUAUUGCCUUCACCAAGUUCUUUUGUUAAUUUUCUCUCGGGUCAACAGCCCACUUCUUUUACUAUCCAUGUAUUAAUACACCAAACUUACUAUUAAGUUUCAACUCAUACCUCUUUUUCUUCAAUAGGCUAGAUAAGUUGCACAAUAAUUUCUUCUCAUUCCUUGGCCUUGUAAAUAUGUCACUAAUUGACCAAUAAUGAUAAUAAAAUACUAUUUGACUCAAUAAAUCAAAAACGACAAUUUAUUCAAAAUGACUCUAAAUUAAAUACUAAACUAAUAAAAAAAUGAAUUAAAACUUAACUAAAAAGACUCUAAAAAUGUGAUAUGACGGACUAUCAUCACAACCCCAAACUUGAAUCAUUCCUUGUCCUCAAGGAAUUCACUUGCGACAUUGACAAUCGACAGUAAAAUAACAAUUACCUAACCAAGUAGUAGUAUCCAAAAGUUCAUCUUCCUCUAGCCAAUGAUGAGCUAGUUUGACUUUCAUGCAUCCACCAUUCACAACUACACACAACAAUAUGAUAAGGGUUCACACUCAAUCAACGUGCAGGUCUACAUAUUACCAUACGCUUGAAAAGUUUCUAAACGUCAAUCAAAAUCAAUAUCAUUACACACUUUGAGGUCUUUCAGGGUUAUAACGAGGUUUAGGUUAAGGUGAGAUAAUAUUUGGAUAAGUAGGCUACACAAAAUUUGAGUUAGGCAUUCCUACGGAAAUUAAAGAAUGGAUUCAAUUCCUCAUUCACCCCUUGAAAUAACAAUUUGUAAAGGUACUAGAGAAUAUUUGUAACUUUUUAGGACAAUCGGGUUUAAAAUUACUCAGAUUUUUCAUUGUUUGUCCCUUGCUUUUUAUUCUUUUUUUUUUUGAUACACCAUUUUGAGUUUGAGUGUAUAUUUUUCAUGAUUUGUUCUUUGUUCUCUAGUACCUCCAUUUGUUCUACCUCCACCCCAAACUUAGUUGGUUGCAAAUUCCAAUAGCAACCCCAAACUUAUUGUUUAGCAACACCCUACAUAGCCUAACUCAAAUAUAAUAUUUUUUUGGGUCAAAUCCUAAAAGUCCCUAGGCUCAAUAUGUAGCUUGUCACCGAACAAAAAGAUCUAAACCUACCGGCUCAAAUUGGCUUUCAAAAAGGAUAAAUUCAAUCAAAAUCAGGGUAGGCUUGAAAAGGCUCACAGAACCAAGCACUUUUGCCUUCACCAAGUUCUUUUGUUAAUUUUCUCUCGGGUCAACAGCCCACUUCUCUUAAAUCAAGUUCAACCAUUAUUUCCGGCGGUCCCAUUGCCACUAUACAAUAUAUUCAACUGCAAGUGCGCCUUCGUUCAAGCAUCUGGUCAUACAAAAUCACAACAAGAGAUGGGUCUUAAUUGAUUCAAAACAAUUGGUUUAAGUGUAAGUAUGAUAAAAUCCUUACAAGAAACAACCAUGGUAAAGGAGAUUAAAGAAGAUGAGUCGCAUGAUCUUAGUUAUUAGGGAUUGAGUUUUUUAUAUAAAAAAAAAAGGCAUAAAUUGAAGUUGGAAACGAGUUGGUGUGUGAGUCUAGAAGCAGAAACCGUUGUUGAAGAGAUAGACCUUGAAGACAAUCAAUUUCCAAUUUUUAUUUUUAUAUUUUAUAAAUAAUAAUGAUGUGUAAUGCUUUUAGUGGUUGGAACUAAAUAUGAUCUUUUAGGUGAGAGACCAUGCAAGAGUUUCUCAUUAUUAUAAUGUAAAGAUAUAUUAUACUCUUCUUCUAAAUCUUUAUCUUUAUUAUAUAUAUUUGCGC
rnacentral:lncRNA from 1 species